UCAUACAAUGGAGGUGCGAGGGCUGUCGCUGAUCUGAACCCUCAGGUCGUGCACGCUCGAGCGUCCUCGCACAUCCAUCUCACCCCAAUGUGCACCACCGCGUGGGUCUCCCUUUGGCUUGUUCGAAGGGGGGCUUACGUUUUCACACAAACUUUUAUGCAGUGUAGAAUGUACCUUUGUUUUGCGAUCACGCAAUUAAUA
rnacentral:misc_RNA from 1 species